CGUGUCGUGAGAUGUUGGGGUUAAGUCCCGCAACGAGCGCAACCCUCAUCCUUAGUUACCAUCAGGUAAUGCUGGGGACUUUAAGGAAACUGCUAGUGAUAAACUGGAGGAAGGUGGGGAUGAUGUCAAGUCAUCAUGGCCCUUAUGGAGUGGGCUACACACGUGCUACAAUGGUGGCUACAAUGGGCUGCAAAGUCGCGAGGCUAAGCCAAUCCCUUAAAAGCCAUCUCAAUUCAGAUUGUACUCUGCAACUCGAGUGCAUGAAGCUGGAAUCGCUAGUAAUCGUGGAUCAGCAUGCCACGGUGAAUACGUUCUCGGGUCUUGUACACACUGCCCGUCACGCC
rnacentral:rRNA from 1 species